rnacentral:rRNA from 1 species
UACAGAGGUCUCAAGCGUUUGUCCGGAGUUUACUGGGCGUAAAGGGUGCGUAGGUGGCGGGGCAAGUUUGGUGUGAAAUCCCGGGGCUCAACCUCGGAACUGCACUGAAUACUGCCUUGCUAGAGCACUGGAGAGGGAACUGGAAUUUACGGUGUAGCAGUGAAAUGCGUAGAUAUCGUAAGGAAGACCAGUGGCGAAGGCGAGUUCCUGGACAGUUGCUGACACUA